rnacentral:lncRNA from 1 species
UGGGAGGAUAGACCCAGACCUGUUAGCCCAUCCUGGCCAGAACCAAUUCCUAGUUCAGUCUUCAAUUAGUCCUCGAAUGCUAUGUUAAGAAGAUCCCCUAUCUUUCUCAUAUGACAUGUGUGUGUGUGUCCUGUGAUGAAGAGAUUGAGGGAAACUCCAGAGGUUCUGUCAGUGUAAAGAUGGAACAGCUCUUGCUAUUCUGACCAUUACCAUUAUUUAUGAUGAGGAGGAUGUUAGAGAAUUGUAUGUAAGGCAUGUGGCACGGGGGCACCAUUUAAAGGGCAUCUGCUACUAGAGGCAGAAGAGAAUGUUGUUUUAGGUCAGGACACCUAGAGUCAGAAAGUGCAGUGUGUGAAUCCAAGUUUGCCAUGGACUAGUGGGGAGACCCUGGGCAGCUAGCCUAACCCCUUGGUACCUCAUUCUCCUCAUCCACUGGUCUAUUGACAGAAUCAAGGGUGAAUGUGGGCUGUUGCAGCCACUCGAAGGGGAGAGUGCCAGGAAGCAGGUUGUGAAGGGUCAGCUGGGUCCAGGGGCAGAGGGUCCCUAGAACAUGGGGCCCCAGCAUGCCCGGCCAAGCAGUGCAGGGAGAGGUGGGGGUUGCUCAGGUCAGCCUUGGAUGAGAUCCUGCAGUGCUAAGAGGUCCCUGGAGGACAAGACCCACAGGAUGGAUUCUCCAGCCCACAGGACACGCACAGGGAGGGGUGGCUCACUGAGACUGAGAGCACUCUGAAUAUCUCGUCUUUCCACUUCAUGUUGUGGGGAACCAUGUUUGUUUCGGGGACUGUGCAGAUGGGGUCUUUGCUCGGCUUUGGCUACCUUUGUGAUGUCAGUGGCUACCGCUGUCACUGACACUGCUGCGGAAUAAGGCACAGCUGGGGGUUAUGGGCAGGAGCUCUGGAGCCAGACAGACCUGGGCACGAGUACUGGCGUUUUCCCUCCUGGCUCCGGCGACCUUGAGCCCUGUGAAAACUCUUACUGGGAUCGUCUCAUUUACUCUUCACGACAACCUGUGAGGAUUGUCACUAUUUCACGGUGGAGAAGACCGAGGCACAGAGAGAGAAAGGGAAUGACCCCCAGUCACACAGCUGCUACGAAGAGGAUAAACAGAGAUCGGCCCCUUGGAAGAAAACACUGUCACUGAUGAGGACGCUCAGGCCCAGAGAAGGCAGGUAACUGGCUCCAUUAUGCCCAAGCCCAUGAGGACAGCGGCUGGGGCACUCCUCAAGUUCACACUGCCCCUGUCCCUCCCAGGGCCGCUUCCCUGUCCUCACAGACCCAGCUCUGCACACUGUCAGG